GACCGACGCUAAGUUUCCAGACUUUCAAGCAGGUGCUGAAAGAGCGUACACUGCAGUUGCCGCUUCAAUGGCUGGUGCCAAUAUAGUGUAUGAAUCU
rnacentral:ncRNA from 1 species